CAUUUUAAUUUUUAAAUUUUAAUUUAUUAUAACUAAAUUAUAUUAUUAUAUAAUUUAUUUGAUUAAAUAUUGAUAUAUCACUGAUAUAAAAAUAAUAUAAUAUUUUAAUUAUUUGUACAUUAUCAAUCGCAAUAUUAUUAGAUUCAUUUUAUAUUUGAGAUGUAUUAAUUAAUAUUAAGUUAACUAAAUUAAAAUAUAAGAAUUGAUCGUAAUUCGAGCUAAAAAUUAUAAUAAAUAAAAGUAUAAGUAUCAAAAUGUCACCCAUCUUAUAGUUUGAUAAUUCAACAUGUGAUUUAUCCUUUAGUUUCUUUUUUCAAAACCAGAUCCUUUUUAACGGGUUCGAUGAUUGAACCGCCAAUUCAAAUGAUUUAAAACAGUGUUUUAACAUAUCUGGAUUAAAAGACUGGACCGAACUGUUUUAUAAACUGAGUCACAAUUGGACCGAUCGAAGCGACUGAUUUCACCUGAUUUUUAAAUUAUUGAUAAAAAGCUCCCACGGUUGCUCUUAUAUAUAUUUUUUAAAUAUGUUAAGAAUUUAUAUAAAAGAAUUUUAUCAGUUUUAAUGUAAGUAAUUUUAUGUGGAGAAGUUUCAUUAAUUGG
rnacentral:lncRNA from 1 species